AAAAAAAGAGAGAAAGAGAGAUAGAAAAAAGAAAGAGACAGUGAGGAUAAAAUAGACAAUAUACAAGCCAAAUGCGGUAUAGAUGAAAAGGUGAAGGUAAAUGUGGUAGAUUUGAAAAUAAAUUAGAAAAAUUGUUCUAGUUUUGUUAUUUUUUCCUUUCUUAACACCUAUAUUCUACUUUUUUGUUCAACAAGACUUUAUACCGCUUUAGAAGAUGCUUCUAAUAUAUUUUCCUUUAAUAUAAGCAUUUUCUUCAUAGAAAAUUUUACCGUGUGGUACAAUUUAAAUUUACAAUCAAUUGAUCUAUCUAAGUGCCCAUUACAUAAUAGAGACAUGGUUGUUGUUUUUCUCUCUGUCAAACAUCACUUAUAUUAAUUUGAAAGGUCUUUAUACAACAGUUCAUUUAGCCAUAAUGGCGGAUUUACAGAAGCAGAGAAGAAAGAAUCUUGAGAAUUAUUUAA
rnacentral:sRNA from 1 species